UACAGAGGCCCCAAGCGUUACUGAGAAUCACUGGGUUUAAAGGGUGCGUAGGUGGUCCGUUAAGUUCGUUGUGAAAGCCCUGGGCUCAACCCAGGAACUGCUUCGAAUACUGGCGGGCUUGAGGCUAGUAUGGGUCACUGGAACUGACGGUGGAGCGGUGAAAUGCGUAGAUAUCGUCAGGAACGCCAAUGGUGAAGACAGGUGACUGGGCUAGAUCUGACACUGAGGCACGAAAGCGUGGGGAGCGAACGGG
rnacentral:rRNA from 1 species